UUGGAAACUGGUAUGAACGGUUUAAUCAACUUGAUUAGUUUGUAAUUUUUGAUGGUAGAUUAAAGAUAAAGUAAAAAUUCUUUAAUAGAUUUAGGGACGAUAAGACCCUAAAAGCUUUAUGAUUAGUGUUUAAUUGGUGUUAGUAGUAAUAUUAAUUGACUGGGGCAGUGGUUUUGUUUAUAUUAAAACAUAUAUAAAAAGAUCCUUUAAAUAAAGAUUUUUUGUGUAAGUUACUUUAGGGAUAACAGUGCAAUAUAUUUGGGGAGACCGUAUCUAUAAAUAUGAUUGCAACCUCGAUGUUGAAUUAGAAUUUCUAAACGGGCAGAAUACGUGUGAGAAAGUUUGUUCAACUUUUAAAUUUCUACAUGAUCUGAGUUCAAACCGG
rnacentral:rRNA from 1 species